rnacentral:rRNA from 1 species
CCUACGGGCGGCUGCAGUGGGGAAUAUUGGACAAUGGGGGCAACCCUGAUCCAGCCAUGCCGCGUGUGUGAAGAAGGCCCUCGGGUUGUAAAGCACUUUCAGUGAGGAAGAACGCCUGGUGGUUAAUACCCAUCAGGAAAGACAUCACUCACAGAAGAAGCACCGGCUAACUCCGUGCCAGCAGCCGCGGUAAUACGGAGGGUGCGAGCGUUAAUCGGAAUUACUGGGCGUAAAGCGCGCGUAGGUGGCUUGAUAAGCCGGUUGUGAAAGCCCCGGGCUCAACCUGGGAACGGCAUCCGGAACUGUCAAGCUAGAGUGCAGGAGAGGAAGGUAGAAUUCCCGGUGGAGCGGUGAAAUGCGUAGAGAUCGGGAGGAAUACCAGUGGCGAAGGCGGCCUUCUGGACUGACACUGACACUGAGGUGCGAAAGCGUGGGUAGCAAACAGGAUUAGAUACCCCUGUAGUC